rnacentral:rRNA from 1 species
AACGAACGCUGGCGGCAGGCUUAACACAUGCAAGUCGAGCGCCUCGCAAGAGGAGCGGCAGACGGGUGAGUAACGYGUGGGAAUCUACCCAUCUCUACGGAACAACUCCGGGAAACUGGAGCUAAUACCGUAAACGUCCUUCGGGAGAAAGAUUUAUCGGAGAUGGAUGAGCCCGCGUUGGAUUAGCUAGUUGGUGGGGUAAUGGCCUACCAAGGCGACGAUCCAUAGCUGGUCUGAGAGGAUGAUCAGCCACACUGGGACUGAGACACGGCCCAGACUCCUACGGGAGGCAGCAGUGGGGAAUAUUGGACAAUGGGCGCAAGCCUGAUCCAGCCAUGCCGCGUGAGUGAUGAAGGCCCUAGGGUUGUAAAGCUCUUUCAACGGUGAAGAUAAUGACGGUAACCGUAGAA